UACGGAGGGUGCAAGCGUUAAUCGGAAUUACUGGGCGUAAAGCGUGCGUAGGCGGUUUGUUAAGUCAGAUGUGAAAGCCCUGGGCUCAACCUGGGAACUGCAUUUGAUACUGGCAGGCUAGAGUAUGGUAGAGGGAAGUGGAAUUCCGGGUGUAGCGGUGAAAUGCGUAGAUAUCCGGAGGAACACCAGUGGCGAAGGCGACUUCCUGGACCAAUACUGACGCUGAGGUACGAAAGCGUGGGGAGCAAACAGG
rnacentral:rRNA from 1 species